UACAGAGGAGCCAAGCGUUGUCCGGAUUGACUGGGCGUAAAGCGCACGCAGGCGGUUGCGCGCGUGGGGGGUGAAAUCUGGCCGCUUAACGGCCAGGCGCCAUCCCAUACGGCGCGACUGGAGUGAUGCAGAGGUCGAUGGAAUUGCCGGUGUAGUGGUGAAAUGCGUAGAGAUCGACAGGAACACCCAGGGGGAAACCAGUCGACUGGGCAUCUACUGACGCUGAGGUGCGAGAGCGUGGGGAGCAAACAGG
rnacentral:rRNA from 1 species